GUGCCAGCCGCCGCGGUAAUACAGAGGGUGCGAGCGUUAAUCGGAAUUACUGGGCGUAAAGCGAGUGUAGGUGGCUCAUUAAGUCACAUGUGAAAUCCCCGGGCUUAACCUGGGAACUGCAUGUGAUACUGGUGGUGCUAGAAUAUGUGAGAGGGAAGUAGAAUUCCAGGUGUAGCGGUGAAAUGCGUAGAGAUCUGGAGGAAUACCGAUGGCGAAGGCAGCUUCCUGGCAUAAUAUUGACACUGAGAUUCGAAAGCGUGGGUAGCAAACAGGAUUAGAUACCCUGGUAGUCCACGCCGUAAACGAUGUCUACUAGCCGUUGGGGUCCUUGAGACUUUAGUGGCGCAGUUAACGCGAUAAGUAGACCGCCUGGGGAGUACGGCCGCAAGGUUAAAACUCAAAUGAAUUGACGGGGGCCCGCACAAGCGGUGGAGCAUGUGGUUUAAUUCGAUGCAACGCGAAGAACCUUACCUGGUCUUGACAUAGUGAGAAUCCUGCAGAGAUGCGGGAGUGCCUUCUGGAAUUCACAUACAGGUGCUGCAUGGCUGUCGUCAGCUCGUGUCGUGAGAUGUUGGGUUAAGUCCCGCAACGAGCGCAACCCUUUUCCUUACUUGCCAGCGGGUUAAGCCGGGAACUUUAAGGAUACUGCCAGUGACAAACUGGAGGAAGGCGGGGACGACGUCAAGUCAUCAUGGCCCUUACGACCAGGGCUACACACGUGCUACAAUGGUAGGUACAGAGGGUGCUACCAGCGAUGUGAUGCUAAUCUCAAAAGCCUAUCGUAGUCCGGAUGAGUCUGCACUCGACUCAUGAGUCGAUCCGCUAGUAUCGCAGAUCAGAAUGCUGCGUGAAUACGUCGGCUUGCACUCCACGCCCGUCAGGGCGAAUUCGUUUAACCUGGCAGGAAUUAGUCCCUUUUUAUU
rnacentral:rRNA from 1 species